AUUGAACGCUGGCGGCAGGCUUAACACAUGCAAGUCGAGCGAGCGGCGGACGGGUGAGUAAUGUCUGGGAAACUGCCUGAUGGAGGGGGAUAACUACUGGAAACGGUAGCUAAUACCGCAUACCAUCAGAUGUGCCCAGAUGGGAUUAGCUAGUAGGUGGGGUAAUGGCUACCCUAGGCGACGAUCCCUAGCUGGUCUGAGAGGAUGACCAGCAACUCUGGACCUGCGCCACGGUCCAGACUCCUACGGGAGGCAGCAUUGGGGAAUAUUGCCCAAUGGGCGCAAGCUUGAUGCCGCCAUGCCGCGGGUGUGAAGAAGGCCUUCGGGUUGUAAGGCACUUUCAGCGAGGAGGCGUUACUCGCAGAAGAAGCACCGGCUAACUCCGUGCCAGCAGCCGCGGUAAUAC
rnacentral:rRNA from 1 species